rnacentral:rRNA from 1 species
UACGGAGGGAGCUAGCGUUGUUCGGAAUUACUGGGCGUAAAGCGCGCGUAGGCGGCUUUGUAAGUUAGAGGUGAAAGCCCGGGGCUCAACCCCGGAACUGCCUUUAAGACUGCAUCGCUUGAAUCCGGGAGAGGUGAGUGGAAUUCCGAGUGUAGAGGUGAAAUUCGUAGAUAUUGGGAAGAACACCGGUGGCGAAGGCGGCGACCUGGUCCUUUUACUGACGCUGAGGCGCGAAAGCGUGGGGAGCAAACAGG